UCCAAAUUAAAAGGGAUGUACUUAUUAAAAAAAUCCUGUAAACCCAUUUAAUGGAAUCAUAUAUACCUCAAAUAUAAAUAUUUUUGUGUAUAUUAAUUAGUCACACAAAUGACCACGUGUGAAGAGGCAUUUUAGGUCAGUCCCAUUUUUGAGUCCUAGUGAAGCAAAAAUAUUCAGUAAAGUACUAAAUUAUCUUGAAAAAAGAAAAAAGAAAAAGGAAAAAUCAAUAAUGUAAAAUUUCACAUUAGUCUUCAUAAAUGCUGCACCUCUAAGAGUGUCGAGAGAGUUGUAGUAGUUGUCCCAAUGCACCCGUGUUAAAGCUUCAGAUUUUGUUCAUGGUGUUAGUUGGGUACUAGAGUCCUAAAUUCCUAAUCUCCAUUGAAUGGUAGAUGGAGGUGGAAAAAUUGGUGCACUUAUAUAUAUAUAUAUAUAUGUAUGAACCAUUAUUUGUCUCCCGCUAUUCAGAGCCAUAUAGUGUAACAGUUAAUUUCAUCUUCUUCCAUCAUUUAUGGAUCCACCUCCACCACCAGAAGCACCGCUGCUGCAGCCGCCGCCGGCGGCUCCGCCUGCUGGAGGGUUCUUGGAAUCAUGCUUGUGGUUUCUGUGCUGCUGUGGUCUACUUACAUGUUGCUGCCCUCCACUGUUUGAGCCAGGACCUCCUCCCCCCUAGAGAUGCAUUGCUUAAUUCACAUCUUAUAUGAACAUGUUUGUGUAUGUAUGACAUAGACACACCAUUGUUGUUUGACUCUUUUUUUGGUUUUUUUAUUAAAUUGUCUUGAAUUAAUGUUGACAUAUUUGAAUGUAUUCUAGAGGAACAUUUCUAGUUUAAUUUGUACUUCUAAGGUUUGGAACUUUGUCUGAUAGGUUUUGUCUCUUGCAUAAAAGAUCAUUCAAAUGGGGAAAAAAAAUGAUCUUGAAUUUUUUUUUUGGAAAGGUAUUUUUAAGUUCUUGCAAA